GGGCUUGUGGUUUAGUGGUAUAAUACUCCCUUAGCAUCAGCGGCUCCUUUCGAGAAGCUCGCAGAGAUUGGGAGUGGUCCGGGGUUCGAUUCCCCGCGAGUCCA